rnacentral:rRNA from 1 species
AGAGUUUGAUCCUGGCUCAGGAUGAACGCUGGCGGCGUGCUUAACACAUGCAAGUCGAACGAACCUUCGGGUUAGUGGCGGACGGGUGAGUAACGCGUGGGAAUCUGCCCUCAGGAGGGGGAUAACGGCUGGAAACGGCCGCUAAUACCCCAUACGCCGAGAGGUGAAAAGAAAUUCGCCUGAGGAUGAGCCCGCGUCUGAUUAGCUAGUUGGUGGGGUAAGAGCUCACCAAGGCGACGAUCAGUAGCUGGUCUGAGAGGAUGAUCAGCCACACUGGGACUGAGACACGGCCCAGACUCCUACGGGAGGCAGCAGUGGGGAAUUUUCCGCAAUGGGCGAAAGCCUGACGGAGCAACGCCGCGUGAGGGAUGAAGGCCUCUGGGCUGUAAACCUCUUUUCUCAAGGAAGAAGACAUGACGGUACUUGAGGAAUAAGCCACAGCUAAUUCCGUGCCAGCAGCCGCGGUAAUACGGGAGUGGCAAGCGUUAUCCGGAAUUAUUGGGCGUAAAGCGUCCGCAGGCGGCCCUGUAAGUCUGUCGUUAAAGCGUGGAGCUUAACUCCAUUUAAGCGAUGGAAACUACAGGGCUUGAGUGUGGUAGGGGCAGAGGGAAUUCCCGGUGUAGCGGUGAAAUGCGUAGAUAUCGGGAAGAACACCAGUGGCGAAGGCGCUCUGCUGGGCCAUAACUGACGCUCAUGGACGAAAGCCAGGGGAGCGAAAGGGAUUAGAUACCCCUGUAGUCCUGGCCGUAAACGAUGAACACUAGGUGUCGGGGGAAUCGACCCCCUCGGUGUCGUAGCCAACGCGUUAAGUGUUCCGCCUGGGGAGUACGCACGCAAGUGUGAAACUCAAAGGAAUUGACGGGGGCCCGCACAAGCGGUGGAGUAUGUGGUUUAAUUCGAUGCAACGCGAAGAACCUUACCAGGGUUUGACAUCCUGCGAAUCCCUUGGAAACGAGGGAGUGCCUUCGGGAGCGCAGAGACAGGUGGUGCAUGGCUGUCGUCAGCUCGUGUCGUGAGAUGUUGGGUUAAGUCCCGCAACGAGCGCAACCCACGUCUUUAGUUGCCAGCAUUCAGUUGGGCACUCUAGAGAGACCGCCGGUGAUAAACCGGAGGAAGGUGUGGAUGACGUCAAGUCAUCAUGCCCCUUACAUCCUGGGCUACACACGUACUACAAUGCUACGGACAAAGGGCAGCAAGCUCGCGAGAGUUAGCAAAUCCCAUAAACCGUGGCUCAGUUCAGAUCGUAGGCUGCAACUCGCUUACGUGAAGGAGGAAUCGCUAGUAAUCGCAGGUCAGCAUACUGCGGUGAAUACGUUCCCGGGCCUUGUACACACCGCCCGUCACACCAUGGAAGUUGGCCAUGCCCGAAGUCGUUACUCCAACCGU